AACCUAUCUAGAGCAACAACCUCUGUACAACAACCACACUUUGUGUUUCCCAUUGGGUGUUGCUCUAGAUAGGUUGUAUUGUGCAGUUAUCCGAGGCCCUAUGUUAUACUCACCAAGUACAGCAAUACUAAGCCCCAAGGGGUACUCCCACCCACCAAAUAAACACAUAAUGGGCCACAUUGGGUACUCACCACAAACAGCUAUAGGCAUGCCAUACACCAUAAGGGGUUCUGACAACCACUGAGUACAGCCAUAAGAGGCCAACAAAACACCAAUUACAGCCAUUCUUGACCCAGAACGGUUCGUACAGCCUCUGAAUAAAAACAGAAUAAAACAGAUCGGACAGGAAAAGCAGCACUCAUCAGGAAUAGCUAACAGAAAACACACAAAACAGGGGCACGAAAGGCCCAAAAAUGAAAACGACAGACCACAAGAACAAAACAACUUAGACACGUAAAGCAGCACCCGAUAGGAACCGC
rnacentral:sRNA from 1 species